UGAGGAAUUUUCCGCAAUGGGCGAAAGCCUGACGGAGCAAUGCCGCGUGGAGGAUGACAGCCUGUGGGUCGUAAACUCCUUUUCUCAGAGAAGAAGUUCUGACGGUAUCUGAGGAAUAAGCAUCGGCUAACUCCGUGCCAGCAGCCGCGGUAAGACGGAGGAUGCAAGCGUUAUCCGGAAUGAUUGGGCGUAAAGCGUCUGUAGGUGGUUUAGUAAGUCUCCUGUUAAAGAUCAGGGCUUAACCCUGAGUCGGCAGUAGAAACUACUGAGCUUGAGUACGGUAGGGGCAGAGGGAAUUCCCGGUGUAGCGGUGAAAUGCGUAGAGAUCGGGAAGAACACCAAUGGCGAAAGCACUCUGCUGGGCCGAAACUGACACUCAGAGACGAAAGCUAGGGGAGCGAAUGGG
rnacentral:rRNA from 1 species